rnacentral:lncRNA from 1 species
AUGGAUAGUGACAUUUUUUGGAAGUGCAAAAAUGACGCAAAACCACAGGGUAUUUACAGGUUUAUAAGAAUGAACGAUUUGGAAAAUGUAAUUAAUUAUGAUGGAAUAUUACAAGAAAUAAAAUUAGAGAAUUGUGAACUAUUAAAUUAUUUAAUUAGAGAAUAUAAUUUAAAAGCGAUUUUAACUUAUAUUAUUGAGGAAGCAGUAGGAGAUAAUUGUUCUUAUGACCGUACACAUAAGUUACCUUAUAAAUGCCAUCAGAUUAUAAUUAGCGAACAUAAAUUAAUAUCGGAUUCAAUUGUAUAUAAUGAAGAGCUUAUGGAUUAUUUUUGGAGUUUUUUAUUGUCAAAAAAACAAUUAAAUGAAGUAUUAGCUGGAUAUUUUUGUAGAUGUGCUAUAGCUCUUUAUAACAAAAAUACAAGAGGAGUAGUAGAUUUUUUAAAAAAAAAAAAAGAAUUAUAUUUGAAAGCUUUUUUAUAUCAUUUUUAUUCCAGAAAUAUAACUGAACUAUUUAAAGUUUUAUUAUUUGUUAAAAUUCCAUAUUUAUGUAUAUUUGAUAAUAAAAAUAUUAUAUUUUAUAUAUUAAGUAAUUUGAAUGGUAAUUUUUCAAAAAACAAUUAUAUCAUUUCUGAUAGAGAAGAUAAUAUUACUUGUUUAUUAAGAGAUAUAUUUGUAAGAAAAGCAGAAAUAUAUUAUUUUAAUUAUUUUUUAAUUGAUUUAUCAUCUCAAAUGACUUUUUCUUAUUUAAUUAAAUGUGUCUUUUCUAAUUGUCCUUACACUAUAUCUGCUGCUAUAACUAUUAUAUCCGAUUUAUUACAUUAUACAGUCUUAUCAAAAACAUGUAACAAUAUUGAUUUUUAUGAAUGUUUAGAAAUUUAUAAUAAAGAAGAAGAAUUAAGAGAAAAUGAAAAGAGAGUCGAAUCAAUGAUAUCGCAACAAGACAAAAAAAAUAAUAAAAAAAAAAUGUUAAAAAAUAAUAUGAAAAUUAAAACAAUAGAUGGUGUAAAAAAAAAAAAAAAAAAAAAAAAAAAAAACAAUCCAAAUAAUAUUAAUAGUGUAGUAAAUAAUAACAAUUUUGUUGCAAAUGAGAAAUUAUAUGGGGAUGGAAAUGUUAACAAAAUAAGUGGUGAUGUUAGUAAUGUCAAUUAUAUAAAUAACAAUAACAAUGAUAACAAUAACAAUAACAAUAAUAAUAAUAAUAACGAUAAUGAUAACAAUAAUAAUAACGAUAAUGAUAACAAUAACAAUAACAAUAAUAAUAAUAAUAAUAAUAAUAAUAACGAUAAUGAUAAUAAUAAUAAUAACGAUAAUGAUAAUAACCUGUCAUGUGAUAAAAAUAGUAUAAAUACGCACAAAAAAGAUAAAAGAGAGAUGCAAAAAAGUCAGUUAUAUAAAGAAGAAUUUGUAAAUAAAAAAAUAAAAGAAGAAAAAAAUGACACAACUACAUCCUCAACCCCGACUGAAGAACAUGGUAAAACAGAAGAGAAAAAUAUAAAUUAUACAGGAGAAGGUUUAAAUGUAACUGAUAUAACAAAUACUAAUAAUGUAAUCAAUGAUAAUUAUUCUAAUGGAGUGAAUGUUACUGAUUUGUUUAAUGGUAUGGGUAUUGGUACUGUAAAUGAAAAUUCACUUAAUUCGUUGUUGAAUUUUAAUAAUAACGACGUGAAUAAUGGCGGAGUGAACAAAAAUGAUAAAUGUAGUAGUAAUAACAAUAAUGGUAAUAACGACAAUGGUAAUAACGACAAUGGUAAUAACGACAAUAGUGACAGCGAUAAUGGAAUAAAACAUUUGGAGGAAAUUAAUUUAGAUCGUGUUUUAAAUAGAAUGAAAAAAAUUGCUAAUAGUAAAAAAGUUUAUAUAAAAAAAGAAGAUAUAGAAAGUGAAGAUGAACAGGAAGAAGAAGAAGAAGAAGAAGAGGGAGAAGAGGGAGAGGAAGAGGAAGAGGAAGAGGGAGAAGAGCAGGAGGAUGACAAAGAUGAUAAAGAUGGUGACGAAGGUGAUGAUGGUUAUACUAAGGUUAAUGAAAAUGUUGACAAAAACGAAAGAGAUGAAAAAGAACAAAAUAAAGAGAACUUUAAUGGUAGAAAUAACUACGGUAACAAAUGUAGAGAUUAUUUAUUCGAUUUACAUUCAAAUAAUUGUUCAUCAAUUUUGUUAAACGAAAGUUCAGACAAUAAAACAUUUAAUUUAUUUUAUAAAGAAGAAGACAAUACAAAUAUUCCAUUAAACAAAUGGGUUGAAUGUUUAGAGAAUUGUACUUUUGUUGAUAUAUGUUUUUUUAAUUAUAUUAAAGACAUUAUGAAAUUAUAUAUUCGUAAUAUUAAUAAAAAUAAAGAAAAAAAUAUUUUAGGAUUUACAACUUUAGAAAUUAUACAAUUAAUUAAAACUUUAAUUAAAACAAAAUCCAAAAAUAUACUUGCUGAAAUUAUUGAUGAAGGUUUUUUUGAUAUAUCUAUUGAUAUUUUUUUUAAAUAUAAAUGGAAUAAUUUAUUACAUAUAUCUGUUUGUGAUUUAUUACAAACUAUUAUAUUUAAAGAAAAUGAAUAUUCUUAUUUAUUAUAUUAUAUACUAGCAUUAACAACAUUUUUACCAAAAUGUUUACGUUAUUUUGAUGCUGUAAGACGAUGUAGAAAUAUAAAAAAUAAAAAAAAAAAAAAAAAAUUACAAAGUUUAAUUGAUUGUGGUUAUAAAGCACAUCUUUUACAUAUAUGUCAAAUCUUAAGUAAUAAAUCAUUAGAAAUUAAAUGGCUUUCUAAUUUUUUAGUUACUGUUUCAGGAUGGAAUGAUAUAAUAAUAGACGAACUUAACCAUUACACAUUAUACUUUAACGAUCAAAAUUAUAUAGAUGAACAAAAAGCGGAAGAAGAAGCAGAACACAAUGAAUUUAUAAGAAAUGUUAUGUGUGCUAAUAAUAAUAAUAAUAAUGGAAUCCAUACUAAUAUACAGACAGCAGAUAUGCAGGGAAAUAUGCAGGAAAAUAUGCAGGGAAAUAUGCAGGGAAAUAUGCAGGGAAAUAUGCAGGGAGAUAUACAGGGAGAUAUGCAGGGUAAUAUGUAUAUGAACUCUCAAAACGAUUUCUCAUGUAAUGACAUUAUGUCUCGCCAAAACAAUGAAAACGACAAUAAUAAUAACAAUAAUAAUAAUAUAAAUUAUACUAACUAUUCGAAUGUAAUAGAUAUAUUAUUUAAUGAUAGUAGUAAUAACACAGAAUAUACAAAUUAUAGUCAUACUGAUCUGAAUAAAGAUAAUAAUUAUUCAUCUAAUAAGUCCAAUAACCACACACUUAAUAAUGAUGAUAGCAGUAAAAAACAAAGACAAUAG